GCGCCCUUAGCUCAACUGGCAGAGCAAGUGACUCUUAAUCACUAGGUUGUUGGUUCGAUUCCAACAGGGCGCA
rnacentral:tRNA from 1 species